UGGGGAAUAUUGCACAAUGGGCGAAAGCCUGAUGCAGCGACGCCGCGUGAGGGAUGACGGCCUUCGGGUUGUAAACCUCUUUCAGGAGGGAAGAAGCGCAAGGGACGGGACCUGCAGAAGAAGCACCGGCUAACUACGUGCCAGCAGCCGCGGUAAUACGUAGGGUGCGAGCGUGGUCCGGAAUUACUGGGCGUAAAGAGCUCGUAGGCGGUUUGUCAAGUCGUCUGUGAAGUCCUAGGGCUUAACCCUGGACGUGCAGGCGAUACGGGCUGACUUGAGUACUACAGGGGAGACUGGAAUUUCUGGUGUAGCGGUGGAAUGCACAGAUAUCAGGAAGAACACCGAUGGCGAAGGCAGGUCUCUGGGUAGUAACUGACGCUGAGGAGCGAAAGCAUGGGUAGCGAACAGG
rnacentral:rRNA from 1 species